GCCGAGGUGGCGAAAUUGGUAGACGCACCAGGUUCAGGUCCUGGCGGUGGCAACACUGUGGGGGUUCGAAUCCCUUCCUCGGCACCA
rnacentral:tRNA from 1 species